CUGCUAUACCACGUUGAAACACCUGAUGUCGUACGAUCACCGAAGUUAAGCACCGUCGAACCUGGUCAGUACCUAGAUGGGUGACUGCUUCGAAAUACCAGGGGUUA